rnacentral:rRNA from 1 species
CGUCGUCAGCUUACCCUGUGAAGGCUUAGCAGUAAGCAAAAUGGGCAAACCCAAAAACGUCAGGUCAAGGUGUAGCGUACGAAGUGGGAAGAAAUGGGCUACAUUUUCUAUAAAAAGAAUAUUACGAAUGGUAUUUUGAAAAAAAUACCUGAAGGUGGAUUUAGUAGUAAAAAGCAAAUAGAGUGUCCUUUUGAAUUAGGCUCUGAGACGCGCACACACCGCCCGUCACUCUCCCCUCAUACAAAUAACAAUUUAACAUCACUAAUAACACAAACACCAACACGGGGAGGCAAGUCGUAACAUGG